rnacentral:tRNA from 1 species
AUAAAUCACCUCUAUUUUGGUUUCUAAUGCCCUUCUAAGGCAUCGGUCGGGGGUUCGAAUCCCUCUCGGAAUGCCA